UCCAGACUCCUACGGGAGGCAGCAGUGGGGGAUAUUGCACAAUGGGGGGAACCCUGAUGCAGCGACGCCGCGUGGGCGAUGGAGCGCCUCGGCGCGUAAAGCCCUAUCAGCAGGGAAGAAGAUGACGGUACCUGACUAAGAAGCCCCGACUAACUACGUGCCAGCAGCCGCGGUAAUACGUAGGGGGCAAGCGUUAUCCGGAUUCACUGGGUGUAAAGGGAGCGUAGACGGCGACGCAAGUCUGGAGUGAAAGCCCGGGGCCCAACCCCAGGACUGCUCUGGAAACUGCGGCGCUGGAGUACGGGAGGGGCAGGCGGAAUUCCUGGUGUAGCGGUGAAAUGCGUAGAUAUCAGGAGGAACACCGGUGGCGAAGGCGGCCUGCUGGACUGCGACUGACGUUGAGGCCCGAAAGCGUGGGGAGCAAACAGGAUUAGAUACCCUUGUA
rnacentral:rRNA from 1 species